UUGAGACAGUGUAGUCCGUUUUCACAAGAGUACGGAGCUUCAAAUUAAAGAACUCUGUUUCCUGUGGGAGGGCGAAAGCUAAGGAAGGCUGUUUCCAAGGGCGGCAGGCAGGAUAAAUAAGGUGUGUAAGGCAGGGCCAAAGAAGGUAGCAUGGCUACUAGCGGCGAGACUACAUGCUUCAAUUUCAUAAGUGGGUGAAGGAAGAAUACCUGAGCUUCAAGCAAAGAAGGCGGGGACCUCGGGCCUUCGCAAAAUCAACGGUCUCAC
rnacentral:lncRNA from 1 species